CUAGGUCGCAACUGGUAACUUCUCGCGAUUACGUUUUGCCAAAAAGCGCCGGCCAAAUCGGCCCGUGAAUUUGUGACGUUAGUGGUUGAGCGCUGAAGCAGCAAUAUUUGGAGCGGUCGAAACUCCCGUUGCCGAGGUCUCCGCGAGGUGAAGCCGCGCCCACUGUCUCGACAGGUGCUGCCACGGAGUGCCAACCAUUUCUUGGUCAGACAUGGCCCUUCUGACAGCUUUGUCGCCGGAAUGGGUUAUGCUGGCAGUGACGACCAGUGUUCUCUUGUACCUAUACGCCUCACGGAAUCGCAACUACUGGAAAAACCAGAAUGUUCCCUCAGAACCAUUCGCACUCAUAUUCGGUGCCACAUUAAAGCUUUUCUCCAACCCACUACACGAGAUUGAUCUAGCGAGGUAUAAAAAGUACGGGAAGCUUUUCGGG
rnacentral:lncRNA from 1 species